AUGGGCGCAGCCUGAUGCAGCGACGCCGCGUGCGGGAUGACGGCCUUCNGGUUGUAAACCGCUUUUGAUCGGGAGCAAGCCUUCGGGUGAGUGUACCUUUCGAAUAAGCACCGGCUAACUACGUGCCAGCAGCCGCGGUAAUACGUAUGGUGCAAGCGUUAUCCGGAUUUACUGGGUGUAAAGGGAGCGUAGACGGCAAGGCAAGUCUGAUGUGAAAACCCAGGGCUUAACCCUGGGACUGCAUUGGAAACUGUCUGGCUCGAGUGCCGGAGAGGUAAGCGGAAUUCCUAGUGUAGCGGUGAAAUGCGUAGAUAUUAGGAAGAACACCAGUGGCGAAGGCGGCUUACUGGACGGUAACUGACGUUGAGGCUCGAAAGCGUGGGGAGCAAACAGGAUUAGAUACCCUGGUAGUCCAAGGGCGAAUUC
rnacentral:rRNA from 1 species